GGUUGCGAUCAUACCAGCACUAAUGCACCGGAUCCCAUCAGAACUCCGCAGUUAAGCGUGUUUGGGCGAGAGUAGUACUAGGAUGGGUGACCCCCUGGGAAGUCCUCGUGUUGCAACCCC
rnacentral:rRNA from 1 species